ensembl:lncRNA
GAUUCAUUUGAGGUAAUUUUUGUGUGCACUGUGAACUGGGUUCAGUUUUAUUCAUGCAAAUAUCCAGUUGUUUCAGGAUCAUUUAUUGAAAAGACUUUCCUCCCCUUGAAUUAUACUACAUGUUUAUAGAAAAUGCACUAUUGUGUUUGUAUGAUAUAUAUCCUCACUCCAAUUCCACACUGUCUUUUUUAAAGUAUUUGCUGGCUUACAUGUGGCUGCACUGGGCCUUCAUUGCUGCGCACAGGCCUUCUCCAAUUGCAGCGAGCAGGUCCUACUCUCUGGUUGCCGUGUGAGGGCUUCACGCUGCCGUCGUUUCUCUCGUUGCAGAGCACAGGCUCUAGGCGCUAAGGCUUCUUCAGUUUCGGCACCUGCAUGGGCUGCAUAGUUGUGGCAUGGGGAUAGUUGUCCCUCGGCAUGGGGGCUCUUCCCGGACCAGGGAUCAAACCGUGUCCCCUGUAUGGGCAGACAGAUUCUUCAACUCUGAGCCACCAGAGAAGCUCCAGUACCACACUGUCUUGAUUACUGUAGCUUUAAAAAAAUGAUUGACGUAUAGGUGAUGUACAGUGUUAUAAACACGCAUUCUUCUUCAUAUUCUUUUCUGUCACGGUUUCUCACAGGGUGUUGAAAGGAGUUCCCUGUGUCACACGUCGCUGUUUAACCAUCCUACAUACAUACUGAAGCUGGAACUCUAGUACUAUGUUGAAUAGAAAUGGUGAAAGCAAAUAUUCUCGUUUUGAUUCUCAUCUUAGGGAGUUUCAAAAAGAUUGAAAGUUUUCAAUUUUUCCCCAUUGCAGUAGCCAAGAUAUGGAAACAACUCAAAUGUCCAGCAGCAGAUGAGUGGGUGAAGCCACACAGCGGAAUAUUAUUCAGCCUUAACAAAGAAAUCCUUCCAUUUGUGACAAUCAUGAUGUGAAGUGAAAUAAGCCCAUCAAAAAAGGACAAAUUCUGCAUGAUUCCACUUACAUGAGGUAUUCAGAAUAUUCAAACUCAGGGGGUGAGGGAGGGACAGACUGGGAGUUUGGGGUUAGCAGAUACAAGUGAC